GACGAACGCUGGCGGCGUGCCUAAUACAUGCCAGUCGAACGCUUCUUUCCUCCCGAGUGCUUGCACUCAAUUGGAAAGAGGAGUGGCGGACGGGUGAGUAACACGUGGGUAACCUACCCAUCAGAGGGGGAUAACACUUGGAAACAGGUGCUAAUACCGCAUAACAGUUUAUGCCGCAUGGCAUAAGAGUGAAGGGCGCUUUCGGGUGUCGCUGAUGGAUGGACCCGCGGUGCAUUAGCUAGUUGGUGAGGUAACGGCUCACCAAGGCCACGAUGCAUAGCCGACCUGAGAGGGUGAUCGGCCACACUGGGACUGAGACACGGCCCAGACUCCUACGGGAGGCAGCAGUAGGGAAUCUUCGGCAAUGGACGAAAGUCUGACCGAGCAACGCCGCGUGAGUGAAGAAGGUUUUCGGAUCGUAAAACUCUGUUGUUAGAGAAGAACAAGGACGUUAGUAACUGAACGUCCCCUGACGGUAUCUAACCAGAAAGCCACGGCUAACUACGUG
rnacentral:rRNA from 1 species